CUGAAACCGGACGCCUACAAGCAGUCGGAGCCGCCUUGGCGCGGUGACGGCGUACCUUUUGUAUAAUGGGUCAACGACUUGGUCUAUCUAGCAAGCUUAAGCCGUUAGGUGUAGGCGCAGCGAAAGCGAGUCUUAAAAGGGCGAAUGAGUUAGAUGGAUCAGACCCGAAACCAGAUGAUCUAGGCAUGAGCAGGCUGAAGUUGGGUAACACCAACUGGAGGGCCGAACCCACACCUGUUGAAAAAAGGUCGGGAUGACUUGUGCCUAGGGGUGAAAAGGCCAAUCAAAUCUGGAGAUAGCUGGUUCUCCGCGAAAGCUAUUUAGGUAGCGCCUCGGAACGAAUGCCCACGGGGGUAGAGCACUGCAUGGAUGAUGGGGCCCACAGCCUUACUGAGUCUAAGCAAACUCCGAAUACCGUGGAGCACUAUCCGGGAGACACACGGCGGUGCUAACGUCCGUCGUGGAGAGGGAAACAACCCUGACCAACAGCUAAGGCCCCCAAUUCGUGGCUAAGUGGGAAAGCAUGUGAGACUUCCCAAAACAACCAGGAGGUUGGCUUAGAAGCAGCCAUCCUUUAAAGAUUAGCGUAACAGCUCACUGGUCUAGUCAAGAGGUCUUGCGGCGAAGAUGUAACGGGGCUCAAGCCACGAGCCGAAGCUUUGGGUGUGCAUUUAUGCACGCGGUAGCGGAGCGUUCCCGUGAUAUAAGCUCUUGCCUUUUCCUAUCCUGUCUCCCUUGCAAGAGGGUGGGAUAGCGGAGGCGCGAGCUUUACUGUGAAGCCGGGCCGUAAGGCAUCCGGUGGAGUGAUCGGAAGCGAGAAUGUUGACAUGAGUAGCGACAAAACAGGGUGAGAGACCCUGUCGCCGAAAGUCCAAGGGUUCCUGCUUAAAGCUAAUCUGAGCAGGGUAAGCCGGCCCCUAAGGCGAGGCCGAAAGGCGUAGUCGAUGGGAACCAGGUUAAUAUUCCUGGGCCAGGAGAUGGUGACGGAUCGCAGGUGUAGUUCCUCCUUAUCGGAUUGGAGGAGCUGCUGAGCGGUUCCUGGAAAUAGCCCUCCACAAGACCGUACCCUAAACCGACACAGGUGGACUGGUAGAGAAUACCAAGGCGCUUGAGAGAACCACAUUUAAGGAACUCGGCAAAAUACCUCCGUAAGUUCGCGAGAAGGAGGCCCCGUUGGCAGGCAACUGUCGGCGGGGGGCACAAACCAGGGGGUGGCGACUGUUUACUAAAAACACAGGGCUCUGCGAAGCCGUAAGGCGACGUAUAGGGUCUGACGCCUGCCCGGUGCCGGAAGGUUAAAAGGAGAGGUGCAAGCCUUGAAUUGAAGCCCCGGUAAACGGCGGCCGUAACUAUAACGGUCCUAAGGUAGCGAAAUUCCUUGUCGGGUAAGUUCCGACCUGCACGAAUGGCGUAACGACUUCCCCGCUGUCUCAAAUGUGGACUCAGCGAAAUUGAAUUGUCUGUGAAGAUGCAGACUUCCCGCGGUUAGACGGAAAGACCCCAUGCACCUUUACUAUAGCUUCGCACUGGCAUCAGGAUUGCGAUGUGCAGGAUAGGUGGUAGGCAUUGAGCCCGGGACGCCAGUUCCGGUGGAGCCAUCCUUGAGAUACCACCCUUCGCACUCUUGAUGUCUAACCGCGGCCCGUUAUCCGGGUCCGGGACCCUGCGUGGUGGGUAGUUUGACUGGGGCGGUCGCCUCCCAAAGAGUAACGGAGGCGCGCGAAGGUUGGCUCAGAGCGGUCGGAAAUCGCUCGUCGAGUGCAAUGGCAGAAGCCAGCCUGACUGCAAGACUGACAAGUCGAGCAGAGACGAAAGUCGGCCAUAGUGAUCCGGUGGUCCCGAGUGGAAGGGCCAUCGCUCAACGGAUAAAAGGUACGCUGGGGAUAACAGGCUGAUGAUGCCCAAGAGUCCAUAUCGACGGCAUCGUUUGGCACCUCGAUGUCGGCUCAUCUCAUCCUGGGGCUGGAGCAGGUCCCAAGGGUAUGGCUGUUCGCCAUUUAAAGAGGUACGUGAGCUGGGUUUAGAACGUCGUGAGACAGUUCGGUCCCUAUCUGCCGUGGGUGUAGGAUACUUGAGAGGAGUUGCCCCUAGUACGAGAGGACCGGGGUGAACGUUCCACUGGUGGACCAGUUAUCGUGCCAACGGUAGUGCUGGGUAGCUAUGAACGGACAGGAUAAACGCUGAAGGCAUCUAAGCGUGAAGCCCCCCUCAAAACAAGGUAUCCCUUGAGAGCCGUGGAAGACCACCACGUCGAUAGGCCGGAGAUGUAAGCGCAGCAAUGCGUUCAGUUGACCGGUACUAAUCGCUCGAUAGGCUUGAUUUG
rnacentral:rRNA from 2 species